UACAGAGGUCCCAAGCGUUGUUCGGAUUCAUUGGGCGUAAAGGGUGCGUAGGUGGUGCCGUAAGUUGGGUGUGAAAUCUCGGGGCUCAACCCCGAAACUGCAUUCAAUACUGCGGUGCUCGAGUACUGGAGAGGAGAUCGGAAUUCACGGUGUAGCAGUGAAAUGCGUAGAUAUCGUGAGGAAGACCAGUGGCGAAGGCGGAUCUCUGGACAGUUACUGACACUGAGGCACGAAGGCCAGGGGAGCAAACGGG
rnacentral:rRNA from 1 species